rnacentral:rRNA from 1 species
AUUGAACGCUAGCGGGAUGCUUUACACAUGCAAGUCGAACGGCAGCGCGGACUUCGGUCUGGCGGCGAGUGGCGAACGGGUGAGUAAUGUAUCGGAACGUGCCCAGUAGCGGGGGAUAACUACGCGAAAGCGUAGCUAAUACCGCAUACGCCCUACGGGGGAAAGCAGGGGAUCGUAAGACCUUGCACUAUUGGAGCGGCCGAUAUCGGAUUAGCUAGUUGGUGAGGUAACGGCUCACCAAGGCGACGAUCCGUAGCUGGUUUGAGAUGACGACCAGCCACACUGGGACUGAGACACGGCCCAGACUCCUACGGGAGGCAGCAGUGGGGAAUUUUGGACAAUGGGGGCAACCCUGAUCCAGCCAUCCCGCGUGUGCGAUGAAGGCCUUCGGGUUGUAAAGCACUUUUGGCAGGAAAGAAACGUCGCGGGCUAAUACCCCGUGGAACUGACGGUACCUGCAGAAUAAGCACCGGCUAACUACGUG